CACGCGCUUUAAAGGGCCCGUGACUAACGAAAAUGCAGCCCUGGAGGCGGCGAAAAGUGUCCUUCGGACAGGACUCAUGGGGAGUCCCGCGGGGGUCACGCCAGAAGGGAAGCCUCGAUCUUCUCACGUGCUGGCUCUCAGCCUCGCUUUCCCACUCACCUUCCCAAGUAGGGAUCCCCUAGAACGCGACCCGGCCCGCCUGCUGGAGGGGAAAGCGGGGCGCCUCUGAGCCUCCGCCUGGGGCUGGGGGGGCGAGGCGGGCCAGGUCCUCCGGCAAUUCAAAGCCGGGAAGGGGCGACAGCGCUGGAGGCGGGGCUCCGCCGGCGAGCCGUUGGAGAAGGAAGCCCCGUCUUCUUCCCCCGACCUCUGCGUCCUAUUGCUCUCUUUCUCGGGGGUUCCUUGCUCUGCCUGGCCCGUCUCUGAGAGAAUGGAAGGGCGGGGGAAGGAGAAGGCCCGGCGCCUGCGCACUGGCCCGAAGCCAAGGCUCCGCCAGCCGAGAGCUACCGUAGAGUGCCGGCGGGUGCCUGGGAAAAGGCGGGAAACGGGAGAGGCUCGAGGCUCGCGCAUGCGCACGCAGUCAACCGCCGACGGAGCGUGGGAGGAGAGGCGGCCGGGCCGCAGCGGCGGUGUGGGGAGGGCGUCCCUUAAGACUGGGUUCAGGAGCCUGGAGAAACAGCUCUUCGUCUUCCUUGGCAGAGAUAGCCGACCUCGGGCCCUCCCUUUCCAUCCUGCCCUCCCGCCUUCCCUCCUGAAGCGCAUGAGGAGCCCUGACCCUGAGACCUCGUUAGUCUCGUCGGCCCUGAGAGAUGGCCCAGCCCUUCGGAGAGGGACUGGCCUCCGGGCCAAGGCCGCCGUUGCCGGCCCUUCGGACUCCACGGCUGUGCGGGAGCCCUCUGCUUCUGGAUUGGGGCUGCCUUGCCUCCUCUCAGGCUCUUCGGCGGCAGCCCCGCAUUCCGUGCCCGCUUCGCCUGAGCGCCGUGGAGCUGGAGCCUGCCCCCGCCUCCCCCCAUCCCCCCAGGGACACCAUUGCCUGCGUCAGAGGAGACGGCAUCCCUGGCGGCCAGCGGGGUCCAGGGGCCGGCCGCUCCGAUGCUGCUCCCCGCAGCUCUCCCUUGGCCCAGCCUCCGCCCUGCCCAGGACGUUGGCAGACCCCGCAGCCCCUCUCCUACGCCGCCCUUCCUGAGAAGACAACCCCCAGGCCAUCGGUGCUGGCUGGACCGGGGCUCCUCUGAGGGGCGGCCUGGCAGAGAAGCGUGUCCCUGCCCACCCCGGGGUACCAGGAGAGCUCAAGGGUCACUGGCUGAGACCUGGAUUUUCCACCUAGUGGGGAUGGAAACGCCGAGAGGCUUUCAGAUGAGGCAUCUAUCAAAUGAAGCUGUUGAUCUUUGUCUGGAAGAACCAUUGAGGGAUCCCCUGAGCCAGCCUGACGCACUGGUGGUCCUUACCUCCUCCCAACUGAAUAAAUGACUGUCCCUGGAAGGCUCCCGUUCCUCUGGCCUCAGACUCACCGGUGUCCCUGUAGUGUCUUUGACUCUGGCUGCCAGUUUUCUUCCCGUGUGCCGUUGUCCCACCGUGUCCCAAUGCCACUUCAUGUUUCCCCUUGGAGGCCAGCUUCAUUCCCUGGGCCACUGUUCCACUCCUCUUGGCUGGAAAAUUGCUCUUUAAUGGAGACCUCAGAUCUGAUUCUGAGUCAGAAUCUGUGACCCACUCAAACAAUGUCCUCCACUCUGAAGCUGGCCCCUGUGUGGAUAGCUGGUGCAGUUUUGAUAGAAAUCCCCACUCGAUCGGAGAUCUUUGCUGGGAUUUGGCUCCUUGAGCUGGAUCUGUUUGCUGGGCUUUAGGGUCUGAAUGUCCCAUUCUCUCUUGGGAUAUAGAUUCAAUCUGAGCAGGUGAUCUAAUCUUGGGUCUAGGCUGGAUUGGAGGUGUUGUUCCAUCUUUUUGCUUAGCUGGAGGUUUCUGCUCUGGGCCAGGUCCUGGCUGGGCAACCUUUGCCUCUCUCAGUUCUGGUUCCCAUUGAGUUUCAGGCUCUUUUCCUGACCCAGGUGCCUGCUGUGAGGCAACUUCCUGUUGAGAAAAGGGCACCUGGUGGAUGGGAGGUGAUUGCUGUGGUGCAGGCUCCUGUGGGGCAAGAAGUUCCUUCUGCAAAGCUGAAUUUUGGUGGGUGCUAGGUUCCUGCUGGGAUUCAGCGUCAUGUUGGGCAAGAGGCUCCUGCUGAGUGAGGGGUCUUUGCUGCAGAGUGGGUUCCUGUUGAGUAUUGGGUCCCUGAUGAGUCUUAGAUACUGCCUGGGCUGUGGCUGUCACUUUUGGCUCAGGCUCUGGCUGAGUGAUAGGUGUCUGGUGUGGCUUAGGUUCCCAGUCAGGCCUAGACAGAGACUUAGAGUCUGGCUCCACUGUUGUUACUUCCCUCUCAGGAGGUGUUGCUCUUCCAGGUUUCAUCUUUCUAUGCCCCCAAGGCCUCCUUUGUCACAGAUCCCUCAUUGAUUCCUCCUGAUGAUACCUCCCUUUGGAUUCCACUACUUCAUCUUGGCAUCCCUGGUCUUUUUUUUUUUAGGCAGUUGGCAAGUGGCACUGCUGACCUCCACUCCUAUGCCAAGUGAUGCACUUCUGUGCCCUCUGCCAUGGAAGGAGGGAUUAGGAACGGGGAGGCUGUGUGCCCAGUACUCUCCUACAAGAGGGGAGGGGCUUACCCUCUUGUGUCAUAAAUAGGACCCCACCCCACUUGCCACUCAGUGUUUUUUUCUCUUAAGGUAAGCAUCCCAGUUUAGUUCUUUGUUUCAUUUGGGAUGACAGAAGCCAGGUUCUAGAUGAGUGUUCCUUUUUUCCCCUCUCCUCUUCUGAUGUUUCAAGAACAGAUGAGGAAACUGAGGCCCAGAGAGAGCAAAUGAAAUACCCAAGUUCACCAAGGGAGCCACACCUUUUCCUGGUCCUCCUAGAUCCUGGGGGACUCGGAGGGCAUGCAGAACUCUCUGUGAGGGAAAACAAAUAAACACACAACAGAAAACAAAACCCAGGAAUGAGUAAGAACUGUUGCAGUUGCCUCUGUUUUCUUAAGCUGCGGGGAGUCUGCCUGGGAGUCAGAUCUGAGCUGGGAGAGCAGUGGCAGGAGAGCCAUUUGAAGAACUGGCAGGCCUUGAUGAAGAAAUGAAGGCACAGAGAAGUUAAGUAGCAGGACCAAGUUAAUGCAAUGUACUUGAACUGAAACAUUGGCUCUUCCUGGUUUGGAGCCUGCCGGCUUUUGGACUAGAACUACACCUUUGGCUCCCUUGGUCUCUAGCUUCCUGACUUACCCGGAAGAUCUUGGGACUUGUCAGCCUCUUUAAUCAAGCACAUAGGACUUGGAUGCUUCCAUCAGCCCUCCGCUAUAGUACCUGACUGAGGUCCACCCUGCUCCUCAUGGAAGGCCCCAAUUUUCCUUGCUUUUGAGUCCUCUUCCCAACCCUGCUCCAUCAGAGCCCCAUGGGAAUGUCUGCUGGGUUGGAAGCCAGGAGUCAAAUUCUGAUCUUUGGAAAUGUGUCUCCACUGUGUGUCCUGCACUAAAUACUUGAACCACUCACUACACGGACAUAAAGCAGAGAGGGAUGAAGGCCCAGUGCAGGCCUGUGAAUCCUGUGUGUGUGAAGUAGAAUUCCCCCCAGCCGACACCAGAGGCCUCCCCCACAGAAAUCGGGAACUGGAACAGAGACUCAGCUGAGGGAUCCCAGGGCUGCCUCUGGAGAGGGGAGGAGACCCUCAGCCCCUGAAAACAAAGGCAGAAUCCGGAUUCUCCUGUGUCACCUGCGUGGGAACAUCCCUUGCUCCCCAGGACUCCUUGGCCUCUGAGAAAUCUUUAGGGAGACAUAGCAGGUGUCCCCACAGACCAGAGGCCCUCAGGAUGAGGAGUUGCCACCUGACCUCCCCUGGUGGUAAGCCCACCUGGGGUGUGAUCUAGAAUUUGUGCCAGGUCAGAUCUCUGAGAGAAGAGAAUGGACACACAGGCUGCCCACCCAGGCCCUCUGGGGAGAGGACUCAUUCACAAGAUGGAGAUGGGAGGGAAUGUCAAUGUUCUGGAAUGAAUAGAUGUCUGGCCUGUAACUACAGGAGGCCCCUGUCCUCUCUCCUGAAUCUAGGAGGGGUAGAGGCCCCACAGCCUCGAACACACUAUCUUGGGCACCUGCUCGCCUCCCCUCAUCUUGAUUCCCUGUGUCUAUAGGGAACAGACUCUGAGCCCAGUUAUUGCCUGGGGGAGCGUGCUUCCAUUGUGUGGUUUCCCUCUUGCAUUUAAAGAGUAUUUACGGGGUAACUGUGACGUGUCUGGCCUUGGGCUGAGUCCAGGGAACUGCACAGACAACAGGACAGAAUUGGGCCCUGGACUCCUGGGGUUUAUCCUGUAACAGGACCACAGGCACUUAGGAGUCAAUUAUAGUUGAGAGAAGGGCCAGGAAGAGAAAGAGUCUGGUGAGUCUGGAGCAUGGAAGGGGUCUCAGCUGAUGGAGGGUCAAAUGGAGAAUCCUGGGAAAGUGAUCUUUUGGCCAAAGCAGGAAGCAUGAGUGGACUUUCACCCCUGGAAGGACAGAGUUUGUGGAGGGAUGAGCUGCCCAUAGAGGAACCAGUCUCAGCGGCAGAGGCCUGGCUGGCCAGAGGGGCUGACUAGUGCUUUGGGGGGAGCCUGGGGGCCAGGAGGAUGGUGACUGCAUUAGGCUGAGGAGAGUCAGCCUGCUGGGCUGUGGGCACCCUGAAGAAGUCUCCGGCCUGCGGGGGGAGCUCUUCCCCCAUCUGGUGGACAUGGGGGGGAAGUGUGGAAGGCAGAGUCCUGUGCCAAGCCAUUCUGAAUGUCUUUCAAGGUCCAUCUGUAGGCAUUUCACAUGCAUCACAUAUCAUGUUCAUGCUCCAUCAUAUUCCAGCUCUGUGAGUCCCAGUGUCUGUUACUAUAAGUACAUUGUCCCUGCCUCUUCCCUCAAUAAAAUGUCAUGAAACUCA